GUCUACACAUCUUUUAAAUACCUCCAGGGAUGAUGACUCAACCCCUUCCCUUCACAGCCUGUUCCAGUGCUUAACAACCUUUUUAGUGUAGGAAUAUUU